rnacentral:rRNA from 1 species
UACGUAGGGGGCAAGCGUUGUCCGGAAUCAUUGGGCGUAAAGAGCGUGUAGGCGGCCAGAAAAGUCCGCUGUGAAAACUCGAGGCUCAACUUCGAGCUGUCGGUGGAAACUUUCUGGCUAGAGUCCGGAAGAGGAGAAUGGAAUUCCGGGUGUAGCGGUGAAAUGCGUAGAUAUCCGGAGGAACACCGGUGGCGAAGGCGGCUUCCUGGACCGACACUGACGCUGAGGCGCGAAAGCUAGGGGAGCAAACGGG